AUUGAACGCUGGCGGCAUGCCUUACACAUGCAAGUCGAACGGCAGCACGGGUGCUUGCACCUGGUGGCGAGUGGCGAACGGGUGAGUAAUACAUCGGAACAUGUCCUGUAGUGGGGGGUAGCCCGGCGAAAGCCGGAUUAAUACCGCAUACGAUCUACGGAUGAAAGCGGGGGACCUUCGGGCCUCGCGCUAUAGGGUUGGCCGAUGGCUGAUUAGCUAGUUGGUGGGGUAAAGGCCUACCAAGGCGACGAUCAGUAGCUGGUCUGAGAGGACGACCAGCGACACUGGGACUGAGACACGGCCCAGACUCCUACGGGAGGCAGCAGUGGGGAAUUUUGGACAAUGGGCGAAAGCCUGAUCCAGCAAUGCCGCGUGUGUGAAGAAGGCCUUCGGGUUGUAAAGCACUUUUGUCCGGAAAGAAAUCCUUGGCCCUAAUACGGUCGGGGGAUGACGGUACCGGAAGAAUAAGCACCGGCUAACUACGUG
rnacentral:rRNA from 1 species